rnacentral:rRNA from 1 species
AUUGAACGCUGGCGGCAGGCCUAACACAUGCAAGUCGAGCGGAUGAUGGGAGCUUGCUCCUGGAUUCAGCGGCGGACGGGUGAGUAAUGCCUAGGAAUCUGCCUGGUAGUGGGGGACAACGUUUCGAAAGGAACGCUAAUACCGCAUACGUCCUACGGGAGAAAGCAGGGGACCUUCGGGCCUUGCGCUAUCAGAUGAGCCUAGGUCGGAUGUAGCUUGUUGGUGAGGUAAUGGCUCACCAAGGCGACGAUCCGUAACUGGUCUGAGAGGAUGAUCAGUCACACUGGAACUGAGACACGGUCCAGACUCCUACGGGAGGCAGCAGUGGGGAAUAUUGGACAAUGGGGGAAAGCCUGAUCCAGCCAUGCCGCGUGUGUGAAGAAGGUCUUCGGAUUGUAAAGCACUUUAAGUUGGGAGGAAGGGUUGUAGAUUAAUACUCUGCAAUUUUGACGUUACCGACAGAAUAAGCACCGGCUAACUCUGUGCCAGCCGCCGCCGUAAUAC